rnacentral:rRNA from 1 species
CCUACGGGAGGCAGCAGUAAGGAAUAUUGGGCAAUGGGCGGAAGCCUGACCCAGCGACGCCGCGUGAGGGAUGAAGGCCUUCGGGUUGUAAACCUCUUUCAGCAGGGAAGAAGCGAAAGUGACGGUACCUGCAGAAGAAGCACCGGCUAACUAUGUGCCAGCAGCCGCGGUAAUACAUAGGGUGCAAGCGUUGUCCGGAAUUAUUGGGCGUAAAGAGCUCGUAGGUGGCUCGUCACGUCGAAUGUGAAACCCUGAGGCUCAACCUCAGGCCUGCAUCCGAUACGGGCGAACUGGAGUAUGGUAGGGGAGUCUGGAAUUCCUGGUGUAGCGGUGGAAUGCGCAGAUAUCAGGAGGAACACCAAUGGCGAAGGCAGGACUCUGGGCCAUUACUGACACUGAGGAGCGAAAGCGUGGGGAGCGAACAGGAUUAGAUACCCUGGUAGUCCACGCCGUAAACGGUGGGCACUAGUUGUGGGGACCUUCCACGGUCUCUGCGACGCAGCUAACGCAUUAAGUGCCCCGCCUGGGGAGUACGAUCGCAAGAUUAAAACUCAAAGGAAUUGACGG